CACGUAGGGCGCAAGCGUUGUCCGGAAUCAUUGGGCGUAAAGCGCGCGUAGGCGGUUACCUAAGUUGGAUGUGAAAGCCCUCGGCUUAACCGAGGAAGUGCACCCAAAACUGGGUAGCUAGAGUACUAAAGAGGGUCGCGGAAUUCCCGGUGUAGAGGUGAAAUUCGUAGAUAUCGGGAGGAACACCGGUGGCGAAGGCGGCGACCUGGGUAGAUACUGACGCUGAGGCGCGAAAGCGUGGGGAGCAAACAGG
rnacentral:rRNA from 1 species